AGAGAGUUGGAGUUUGUUGAUUGUGCUGUGAAGAAGGAGUCAGUUCUGUGAGGAGGUGCCCAUGAGAGAUCACCAAGAAGAUCGAUCUCUUCCCAAGAUGUACAUCUGCACCCAGCACUAUCAGUGCUGUCCAGCACCAGUAAGAGGAACUGCCUUCUGGAUGGACCUGUGUCAGCUCACCAAAUGUGGAGACAGCUAGGUCAACAUCCAAGGUACCUAUGGGAGAAGUCAUUUCCCAGAGGGACUUUCUAUAAAGACUGAAGAAUAACAGGCACAUCCUGAGAGUGAGCCCUACCACAACACUGCACAAAAGAAUGUGAGAAAAACACUCAAAUUCUAUCCAGGCCACCAAACACCUGCUGGGAGACCACAGCCAAACCAGUGUCACCCUGUUCCAUUUCAGGCAACCUGGACAAAGGGUUGGCACGUGUGAUGAAUCCCAGCCUAAACUCCACUAAACUGGAUUUCACAUGUAAUGUACAGCACUAAAUAUAUUGUCAUAGCUUGACUUAAAUUAAACAAAACCUAAGUAAGUAUAAGGCAAGUUCAUAAUUGCCUGAAAUGGUAGCUCUUAGAGACCUUUUAUAUAGCUGAGGAAACCAGAUGUUGAUUUUAUGGAAGCAGUAAACUGUUUUAAAAACCAUAGUACAAUAGGAUUUCAGCUGUUCAAACGGAUUCUGCUAAGUCAUCUCUUUAUGCCCAAGGAGAAAACCUACCAUUAAUGACCAUGUUUCUGCUUAUUUUUAACUUAAAAACAUCAGUCAGCAUGAAGUAUUGGAUCCAAGAGGUCACCUGCUAUGUUUAUUAAUUAAUUUCAGUACAAAGCCAUUUAGCUUUGUUUUCUGACAUUGAGGUCUAUGCACCAUACUCCCUGAUAAUUCUGCUCACACUAGUGUGGUGCAUGAAGAUAUGCACAGAGCUUGUGUCAGAGCAAAGCCACUGAAGUGUUUCUGUUCCAAAGCAUCGAAGUCAAGAGUCCCAAUGAGUAUCCAAACCAGCACAGCAGGAGUCUGGCUAACCCAUGAAGUCCAGUUGCUAUGGUUUAGCAUUCUUGUCCACCCCA